rnacentral:rRNA from 1 species
UACGUAGGGGUCUAGCGUUGUCCGGAAUUAUUGGGCGUAAAGAGCUCGUAGGCGGCUCGGCAAGUCGGAUGUGAAAUCUCCACGCUUAACGUGGAGGGGCCAUUCGAAGCUGCCGUGACUCGAGUCCGGUAGGGGAGUGCGGAAUUCCCGGUGUAGCGGUGAAAUGCGCAGAUAUCGGGAGGAACACCAGUGGCGAAGGCGGCACUCUGGGCCGGAACUGACGCUGAGGAGCGAAAGCGUGGGGAGCGAACAGG